UACGUAGGGGGCAAGCGUUGUCCGGAUUUAUUGGGCGUAAAGAGCGUGUAGGCGGCCAGGUAGGUCUGCUGUGAAAACUCGAGGCUUAACCUCGAGCUGUCGGCGGAAACCAUCUGGCUAGAGUCCGGAAGAGGAGAAUGGAAUUCCCGGUGUAGCGGUGAAAUGCGCAGAUAUCGUCAAGAACACCGAUAGUGUAGACAGCUUACUAGGCUGAAACUGACGCUGAGGCACGAAAGUGUGGGGAUCAAACAGG
rnacentral:rRNA from 1 species